GUUUCUACUCCAAAUUUUACAUUGAUCCCUCCCUUCUUAUCUAACCAUUUGGACAUAACAGAUGAUGCUCAAUACCCUCCUCUAAUCCUCUGGAAACCAUCGGCCACGCAUAUAUUCCGACCGCGGUGGAAGCGUUAAACCACCCGCUUCCUCCGUCCAAGAUGUCACCCAUUUGAUCAUCGACAAAAUUCAAUUGUGUGGCCGCAUCAACUCGACUUGCUGGUGGUUGUCGAUGGACGCUUGGAGUAGUUACAUGAUGAUUCGUAUUUACAUCCAAACUUGAGCAACAAGUUUUUGCCAUCGCCUCGAGCACCCGCCGCCCCUUCCCGUCGAGCAACUUUGCUCUAAGGGCGCCUAGGAGCCCGUCAUCUUCUUCACUGCUACCUUCCUCGAAAGAAAAAGGUGGCUCCGCAACCGUUCGAAGUGGGAGCUGGCAAGUAGUCAAAGUUGGUGCGGGCAUUGGAACCGCGCAGCGCCCGUGCCGCAUCGUCAUAAGCCCGAGCAGCCUCCUCGGCCGUGUCGAAAGUCCCGAGCCAGAGCCUGACCUUCUGCAGGGAGUCUUUGAUCUCAGAGACCCAUCUGCCGGAGGGCCUCUGGCGAACUCCUACAUAGCGAUGGUGGCCUCUUGAAGAUGGUUUUUUUCUGCAGCUCCCCAUGGCCAUGAGCCAGAAUUUGGGGCUUCAUUGGUCUAUAAUACAAAGCAAAUGGGAAAAUUAGGACAAACAAAUUUUGGAAAACGUUAAUCUGAGGAGAGUUUUGUUUAUUGUUUUGAGUUGAUUCCAAUUUGCAGGCGCACUUGUUUGUAUCGACAAAUGUGUUUUCUUCUCCCUUUUUUUUCACUUUUAAUGCCAAUGUUGAUUGUGUACGAUAAAGCCCAAGUUAUGUGAUGAUUUUUUCUAAUGCAGUAAAGAUAGAGACUCGAAUUCACUCUUU